AGAUUUAAAAGCACAAAGUGAGAACAGUUGUCCUAAACAAGUAUAUGAGAACAAGCUGUAGAAAGAGUAAAGAAAAGUAAAGAAAGGGGAUUAAAUAAAUACUCAAGUGCCUUGUCGAUGACGUCACACAGGUAGUAUUAAAAGAUGUCAGUGAAAGACCAAAAAUCAUUACAAGCACUGACAGCGAGAUACUCAUUAGCACUGCAUCUUAUGUCUUCGAUGAGGAGAAAAGAGUUGUUGCUGGUGUAAUGGAGAACAGAGAGUCGGAGCUGUGCAAGUAAACCUCACUCCCCUGAUCUCAAGAGAUGUAUUAGUAAUUGAUGCAAGUGGCUGCAGUCAUUUAGCCUACUUGUUAUUGCAUCUGCAUGGCUGAGAUCUGGGUUUUGAGGCCCAGUUGGAGGAAGGACGAGGUGUGGCGGCGAGGACCCAGGGGAGAGGGGUUACAUUGGUGCCGUGACCCGGAUGAGAGUGAGGUUUAGGGGGGGUGAGUGUAAUGGAUGCCAGCGGGUAGGUGCUGUGCAGGUAAAACCUCACUCCCCUGAUCUCAAGAGACGCACUAGCAACUGGCUGCAGUCAUUGAGCCUCCUUGUUAGUGCGUCCACCUCCAAUGCUGGAGUCCCAGGUUUGAAGGCCCACUCAGAGUGAGUACGUGGUGUGGCGGUGAGGACCCCGGGAGAGAGGGGUUACACUGGUAUGAUUAUUGAAAUUACAAAAUGGGCUUCAGCCAAGAAUUUUCAUUCAGUGCAUCCCUAGAUGUUAUCUAACUUUAUUCAGCUAUAUUUUAAAGUUGUUUAUUAAAGUUUUGUCCCUUUCAGAUGUCAAUGGUGGCUCAUCUUCUGAUAGAGAUGAAGAAACAGUCUCAACAUCAAAAGAGCAGCUGACGGCCAACAGUUUCUCCUGCAGCACCUGUGGAAAAACACUGAGUUCAGAGGGUCAUUUAACAAGACACGAGAGAACACACACAGAACAGAAAGAGUUGUGCUGUAAGAUAUGUAACAUCAGCUUUCCUACCACAGAAGGGUGGAGACUUCACUCAAAAGAGCACAGCGGGAAGAAGGUAUUUCACUGCGAACAGUGUGGGAAGGUUUUUUUCACCACUGCUCAUAUUAUGAAAGCUCAUAAAAAAACACACAGCGAAAAGUUUUUCCACUGCAGUGAAUGUGACAAGUAUUUCAGCACCAAAGCAAAUCUUGAUGCUCAUAAGCGAAUCCACACGGGAGAAAGACCAUACAAGUGCCCUCACUGCGAGAGAAGAUUCAAUCACGGAUCUCAUCUGAAGACACAUUUGCAUUUCCACACUAAUGAAAGACCGUAUCAGUGCAGUGAAUGUGGGAAAACAUUUACAAACUCAAGCUCUCUAAAUUCACACCAGAAAAUCCAUUCAGAUGAAAAACCAUUUCAGUGCAAACACUGCGACAAACGAUUCCGUCAGAUUGCUAAUCUGAAUUGUCACGAGAGGAUUCACACUGGAAAGAAACCAUAUAUGUGCGCCCACUGUGGGAAGAGUUUUUCUGAUCCAACUCAUUUCAGAGACCAUAAGCGAGUCCACACUGGAGAAAAACCAUAUCACUGCAGCAUCUGUGGGAAGAGUUUCAAGCAAAACACUAACUUAAUAAAGCAUCAGAGGAUUCAUAGCGGAGAAAGACCGUUCAAAUGCUCACAGUGUGACAAGACGUUUGCUCGAUCUGACGUCCUUAAGAUCCAUCAACGAGUUCAUACAGGAGAGAAACCUUACUCCUGCUCCAUCUGCAGUGAGAGAUUCGCUUAUUUAGGUAGUUUCCAGACCCACCAGAACAAACACACUAAAGAACAAACUGCUCCAGAAUCAUCAGAGUGACUUUUCAUGUCUUGGUCUGUCAGUAAAUGCUUUAUUUCGGCAGUUGCUUUCAUCAUUCAUUCCAUGUGAUAUAUGACAAUAACAUCAUACAAAUGAUGAUUUCAAUUUAAAACAUGAACCAUAUAUUAAAGAUCGGGUGAAUUGGAUUUCUGAGCAGUAUUAAGUCCAGGAUCACUGAGUGAUUUCACUGUUCGUACAGUAGGCUAUUCCACACCAGAGAGUG